AGAGACUUAGGAUAGUAUUAAGACCGGGGGCCUUCAAAGCCCUAAGCGAGAGUGAAAGUCUCCCAGUCCCUG
rnacentral:tRNA from 1 species